CCCUUAGAUGUUCUGGGCCGCACGCGCGCUACAAUGAUGAAUUCAACGAGUUUAUAACCUUGGUUGAAAAGCCUGGGUAAUCUUUUGAACUUUCGUCGUGAUGGGGCUAGACCCUUGCAAUUAUUGGUCUCCAACGAGGAAUUCCUAGUAAACGCAAGUCAUCAGCUUGCAUUGAUUACGUCCCUGCCCUUUGUACACACCGCCCGUCGCACCUACCGAUUGAAUGGUCCGGUGAAAUCUUUGGAUUGAGACUUUGAUUUCUUCACGGAAAACGCUGUUUUAAAAAGUUGAUUAAACCUUACCAUUUAGAGGAAGGUGAAGUCGUAACA
rnacentral:rRNA from 1 species